rnacentral:misc_RNA from 1 species
AACGCACACUACGCCAGCCAGUACUCUGGCGGUGCAUGCCUGCCCGAGCGUCAGCGCCACCCGUAGAGCCCCGCUCGUGUUGGGGCGCCGCGGCCCCCCCGCGGGCCGCGGGCCCCGAAAGGCAGUGGCGGGGCGCGCCGCCGGCCGGAGAGCAGUAGCGACCGAGCCUCCUCCGGCGCCGGCGGCGGGCCCCCGGCCCCCCCGCGGAAACGCACGCGACCCCGAUGACCUCGGGUCAGGUAGGACUACCCGAUGAACUUAA